AAAAAAUGUUUUGAGAGAAGAGCACACCACCCCUGCGGGACAUUCCCUCCCCCUCUGCUUCCCUUCCCCAAACCCCACCCCGGGGAAGUUUUGAUUUGAAACCCGGGAGGAAAACUGUUACCCAGCAAGUUGACAGCAGUGAGUCCUAGCAGACAGAAGGGGGGCACUCAAGGGGGAGGCGCUGGAAGGGAGAUCUGAUUUGGGAGCAGCUCGGGGAGGGGAUCAGACCCCUCCUCCUCCCGCCAAGAGCAUCGCCACCUACCUCGGCAUCCCCCCAACACACUCAAAGCCCUUUCCUCCUCCUCCUCCUCCUCUUCCGCCUCGGAAAGUUAGCGAGGCUCCGGCAGGGGCCGCAGGUCGCGGUGGCUUGACGGCAGGCAGCCGCCUCUGGGUGUCCCUCCCAGCCUCCGUCCCGCUCAGCAGACACCUCAGUGGCGGCAACGGCAGCAGCCGCUCCUCUGACUCCGUGCUCUUUGCAGACUGACAUCCCCCUAUCCAGCUCUACAUGGUUCUGUUGGGGCUUACAAUCGCUGGACACUGCGGCACAGUCACAGGGAUGGAUGUGAACUUUGGGCCAAGGAGAGCCCUUCCCGGAGGUUUACAGUUACUAGAAAAGAGAAACUUUCUUUCCCCAUGAUUCACUAACAUAAGAAUAUGACUAAAUCUGCGAGUAGUCAUAUUCUCUACCAAAUGGAUAGCAUACCCUCAAAUCAGGAAAGUGACACACAGAAGAAGCUGACAGAGGAGACGGAGAGAUGACAAGAACUCUAGCAGUCUACAGAUUCGGGGUGACUGAGAACAGACACAUCCCCUUUCUUCCUAUUUCCAUUAGCCAAUAUAUUCUCUCUUUUUGCAAAAGCAAAUUUGAGUAGGNNNNNNNNNNNNNNNNNNNNNNNNNNNNNNNNNNNNNNNNNNGUAACAGUUGGCAGAGGCAUUACAUAUGCUACAGUAAAGUCAAGAGACUGCAGACAGAAAAACAGUCUCUGCUUUUGACUGUUAAUCUUUAUCAGUCAUCUCUGGGAAUACAAUUUUAUUAUACUACUUGGGGGCAAAAGCUAGUGUUCAAGUAAUGUAUUAAAAACCACUUAAAACUAGCAUAAUUAUCUGAAACUUUUUCUUGGUCCUUAAUACAACCACCCCACCAACAUCCACUCAUACUCAACA
rnacentral:lncRNA from 1 species